rnacentral:rRNA from 1 species
AGGUGCUGCAGUGGCUGUCGUCAGCUCGUGUCGUGAGAUGGUUGGGUUAACGUCCCGUAACGAGCGCAACCCUUCGUCCUUAGUUACCAGCACGUUAUGGUGGGCACUCUAAGGAGACUGCCGGUGACAAACCGGAGGAAGGUGGGGAUGACGUCAAGUCAUCAUGGCCCUUACGGCCUGGGCUACACACGUGCUACAAUGGUCGGUACAAAGGGUUGCCAAGCCGCGAGGUGGAGCUAAUCCCAUAAAACCGAUCGUAGUCCGGAUCGCAGUCUGCAACUCGACUGCGUGAAGUCGGAAUCGCUAGUAAUCGUGAAUCAGAAUGUCACGGUGAAUACGUUCCCGGGCCUU